AUACGAAGGGGGUUAGCGUUGUUCGGAAUUACUGGGCGUAAAGCGCGCGUAGGCGGAUUGGUCAGUUAGGGGUGAAAUCCCAGGGCUUAACCCUGGAACUGCCUCUAAUACUGCCAGUCUUGAGUUCGGGAGAGGUGAGUGGAAUUCCUAGUGUAGAGGUGAAAUUCGUAGAUAUUAGGAAGAACACCAGUGGCGAAGGCGGCUCACUGGCCCGAUACUGACGCUGAGGCGCGAAAGCGUGGGGAGCAAACAGGAUUAGAUACCCUUGUAGUCC
rnacentral:rRNA from 1 species